AGAUGAGAGGAAGAGAUAGGUGAAAGAGAGGGUUUACGCACAAACAUUAUAUUUUAAAAUAAUACUGUCAUUUCAUUAGUUUCUUUAAAUUUUAGAGAUUUUUUAUCCCCUCAAAUUAUUAAAACUCAAUUAUUUUGUAACAAUAACUUAAAAAAAAACUUUAUAUUAAAAUUCAUAUUUUUUUAUGGUCUAUAAAUAGAGACUAGUUUCACUUCAUUUGGAUACCAAAAAAAUCCGUCAA
rnacentral:lncRNA from 1 species